rnacentral:rRNA from 1 species
GACGAACGCUUGCGGCGUGCCUAAGAAAUGCAAGUCGAGCGGGGUCACUUCGGUGGCCUAGCGGCGAACGGUCGCGUAACACGUAGGCAACCUGCCCUGAAGUGGGGGACAACGGCCCGAAAGGGCCGCUAAUACCGCAUGUGGCCCGUGGGUGGCAUCACCUAUGGUCUAAAGGCGAAAGUCGCUUCAGGAUGGGCUUGCGGCCUAUCAGGUAGUUGGUGGGGUAACGGCCCACCAAGCCGACGACGGGUAGCUGGUCUGAGAGGACGAUCAGCCG